CCUUGAAAUACCAGCCUGGCAUGUUCGAGGUUCUAACCCAGGCCCGUUAUCCGGGUCGGGGACAUUGUGUGGUGGGUAGUUUGACUGGGGCGGUCUCCUCCCAAAGAGUAACGGAGGAGCACAAAGGUACCCUCAGCACGGUCGGACAUCGUGCAAUGAGCGUAAAGGUAGAAGGGUGCUUGACUGCGAGACCCACAAGUCGAGCAGGUGCGAAAGCAGGUCUUAGUGAUCCGGUGGUUCUGUAUGGAAGGGCCAUCGCUCAACGGAUAAAAGGUACUCCGGGGAUAACAGGCUGAUACCGCCCAAGAGUUCACAUCGACGGCGGUGUUUGGCACCUCGAUGUCGGCUCAUCUCAUCCUGGGGCUGAAGCCGGUCCCAAGGGUAUGGCUGUUCGCCAUUUAAAGAGGUACGCGAGCUGGGUUUAGAACGUCGUGAGACAGUUCGGUCCCUAUCUGCCGUGGGCGUUGGAGAUUUGAGAGGAGCUGCUCCUAGUACGAGAGGACCGGAGUGGACGAACCUCUGGUGUUCCGGUUGUCACGCCAGUGGCACUGCCGGGUAGCUACGUUCGGACGGGAUAACCGCUGAAAGCAUCUAAGCGGGAAGCCUCCCUCAAGAUGAGAUCUCCCUGGGCACUUGAUGCCCCUAAAGGGCCGUGGAAGACCACCACGUUGAUAGGCGGGAUGUGGACGCGCUGUGAGGCGUGAAGCUAACCCGUACUAAUUGCCCGUGCGGCUUGACCAUAUAACGCCAAAGCGGUCAC
rnacentral:rRNA from 1 species